rnacentral:tRNA from 1 species
GGAGGCGUCGCAUAGUGGUCUAGUGCGCACGCUUGGAAAGCGUGUAGGGCGCAAGCCCUCGAGAGUUCGACUCUCUCCGCCUCCGCCA